rnacentral:rRNA from 1 species
UGGGGAAUUUUGCACAAUGGGGGAAACCCUGAUGCAGCGACGCCGCGUGAUUUAGAAGGCCUUCGGGUUGUAAAAAUCUUUUCUAUGGGAAGAAAAUGACAGUACCAUAGGAAUAAGGACUGGCUAAUUACGUGCCAGCAGCCGCGGUAAUACGUAAGGUCCGAGCGUUGUCCGGAAUCAUUGGGCGUAAAGGGUACGUAGGCGGGUAAGCAAGUUAGAAGUGAAAUCCUAUAGCUCAACUAUAGUAAGCUUUUAAAACUGCUCAUCUUGAGGUAUGGAAAGGAAAGUGGAAUUCCUUGUGUAGCGGUAAAAUGCGCAGAUAUUAGGAGGAAUACCGGUGGCGAAGGCGACUUUCUGGCCAUAACCUGACGCUGAGGUACGAAAGCGUGGGUAGCAAACAGG